UCUCCGUUGGUGAACCAGCGGAGGGAUCAUUACCGAGUUUACAACUCCCAAACCCCUGUGAACAUACCAUUUGUUGCCUCGGCGGUGCCUGCUUCGGCAGCCCGCCAGAGGACCCAAACCCUUGAUUUUAUACAGUGUCUUCUGAGUAAAUGAUUAAAUAAAUCAAAACUUUCAACAACGGAUCUCUUGGUUCUGGCAUCGACGAAGAACGCAGC
rnacentral:misc_RNA from 1 species